ACACGUAAGAAUACCCGCUGAACUUAA
rnacentral:rRNA from 3 species